AUGCAGGGCGGAGGCGUCUCCGGAUUCCAUAACGCGCCGGUGACGCGGGCGAUCGUCCUCGCCAGCGGCCUCCUCUCUGUCGUCUUCAGUGUGAACCGCCGAGCCCGCGCCCUCGGCCUCUCCUACCAGGACAUCAUAAAGAACUUUCGAGUUUGGAGGAUAUUUGCAUCUGUAUUUGCCUUUCAGUCAACACCAGAGUUGAUGUUUGGACUCUACCUUCUGUAUUAUUUCCGUGUGUUUGAGAGGCAGAUGGGCUCUAACAAAUACUCUGUUUUUAGUUUAUUCUCUAUCGCAGUAUCAUUACCUCUUGAGAUUCUAUCUUUGGUUCUCCUGAAAGAUACAAACUACAUCACUGCUCUUGCAUCUGGACCUUAUGGCCUUAUAUUUGCCUCGUUUAUUCCUUUUUUCCUCGACAUUCCCAUCACUUCACGAUUUCGUAUUUUUGGCGUUAAUUUCAGUGAUAAAUCAUUCAUAUACCUAGCUGGCCUGCAGCUUCUUGUAUCUUCUUGGAAGCGUUCCCUUAUUCCUGGUAUUUGUGGCCUGAUUGCCGGUUCGCUCUAUCGUCUCAAUGUGUUUGGCAUCCGCCGGAGGAAGCUUCCACAGAUUGUUGCAUCAUUUUUCGCAAGAGUUUUUGUACCUCCUUCAGCAAGCUCAUCUCGGCCGUCAAGAAGUCUUGUUGGAAAUGUGCCUUCGCAUACAGGCCGUACUGUUCAGAACCAGCCGUCUACUGGGUUUGCUCCUGUUGUGGAGCCCCCAGAGUCCUCCAUUGCUAUGCUGGUAUCGAUGGGCUUUGACAGCAAUGCUGCGAGACAGGCCCUCGUGCGAGCCAGAAAUGAUAUCAAUGUAGCCACAAACAUCCUGCUUGAAGCGCAGUCUCAUUGA
rnacentral:rRNA from 1 species